rnacentral:rRNA from 1 species
CCUACGGGAUGCAGCAGGCGCGAAACCUCUGCAAUGCGGGAAACCGUGACAGGGGGAUCCCAAGUGCUCAUGCAUUGCAUGGGCUGUUCUUUGGUCUAAGUAACCAGAGGAGUAAGGGCUGGGCAAGACCGGUGCCAGCCGCCGCGGUAAUACCGGCAGCUCAAGUGGUAGCCGCGAUUAUUGGGCCUAAAGCGUUCGUAGCCGGAUAAGUAAGUCUUUGGUUAAAUCCUGCAACUCAACUGUGGGAAAUCUAGGGAUACUGCUUGUCUUGAGACCGGGAGAGGUUAGAGGUACUCCUAGGGUAGGGGUGAAAUCCUGUAAUCCUAGGGGGACCACCUGUGGCGAAGGCGUCUAACUGGAACGGGUCUGACGGUGAGGGACGAAACCUAGGGGAGCGAGCCGGAUUAGAUACCCCGGUAGUCC